GACGAACGCUGGCGGCGUGCUUAACACAUGCAAGUCGAACGGAAAGGCCCUGCUUUUGUGGGGUGCUCGAGUGGCGAACGGGUGAGUAACACGUGAGUAACCUGCCCUUGACUUUGGGAUAACUUCAGGAAACUGGGGCUAAUACCGGAUAGGAGCUCCUGCUGCAUGGUGGGGGUUGGAAAGUUUCGGCGGUUGGGGAUGGACUCGCGGCUUAUCAGCUUGUUGGUGGGGUAGUGGCUUACCAAGGCUUUGACGGGUAGCCGGCCUGAGAGGGUGACCGGCCACAUUGGGACUGAGAUACGGCCCAGACUCCUACGGGAGGCAGCAGUGGGGAAUAUUGCGCAAUGGGCGGAAGCCUGAUGCAGCAACGCCGCGUGCGGGAUGACGGCCUUCGGGUUGUAAACCGCUUUCGCCUGUGACGAAGCGUGAGUGACGGUAAUGGGUAAAGAAGCACCGGCUAACUACGU
rnacentral:rRNA from 1 species